rnacentral:rRNA from 1 species
UAGUCCACGCCGUAAACGAUGUCAACUAGCCGUUGGAUUCAUUUAAGAAUUUAGUGGCGCAGCUAACGCAAUAAGUUGACCGCCUGGGGAGUACGGCCGCAAGGUUAAAACUCAAAGGAAUUGACGGGGCCCGCACAAGCGGUGGAGCAUGUGGUUUAAUUCGAUGCAACGCGAAGAACCUUACCAGCCCUUGACAUCCAGAGAACUUUCUAGAGAUAGAUUGGUGCCUUCGGGAACUCUGUGACAGGUGCUGCAUGGCUGUCGUCAGCUCGUGUCGUGAGAUGUUGGGUUAAGUCCCGUAACGAGCGCAACCCCUAUCCUUAGUUGCCAGCACAUUAUGGUGGGAACUCUAAGGAGACUGCCGGUGACAAACCGGAGGAAGGUGGGGAUGACGUCAAGUCAUCAUGGGCCCUUAUGGGGCUGGGGCUACACACGUGUUACAAUGGUCGGUACAGAGGGUCGCCAAGCCGCGAGGUGGGAGCUAAUCCCAGAAAA